rnacentral:misc_RNA from 1 species
CCCAACCUAAUGAAGCAAGACCUUCUACCCAUGUCAACAAAAGGUGAGACAAAGCAAUUAUAAGAAACCUGACAAAUACAAUUGCGGUACAAACCCCGUUUUGUAAGAGAGUCAGCGAAGCAAUUCACUUCUCUAUGAGAAUGACUCAACACAGCAUUAGGGAGGCGCUGUAGGUUGCAGCUAAUAGAGUUCAGCACAGAGGAGAGACAGACACCAAGAAGUACUGUCUUCGUUAUUCACCCAAGACACAGCGAUCUU